UAACCGGUGAAAGUCCGGCCGCGGUAGUUUUCCCGUUCGACCGUGUAGUUAUAUCCGACUCUCAUUUCAGGUGACUGAAUGAGGGAAAGCUCGGAAGUAAAAGUCCUCGCUGCUCCACUGAGAGUAGACUGGUUAGGGGGACAAGCAAUCUUGGAGGCCGUAGCAUAA
rfam:Peptococcaceae bacterium BRH_c23 BRHa_1003871, whole genome shotgun sequence.